AUAGAGGGCAUAUCAGUAAAUAGAGGUACACCUCUCCUCCACGUCUGAUAAGUGAUUCAAGCAAACCCUAAACCUACUCCACCUCCACACACACCGCCGAUUACAUGGAGAGAGAACGAUGAGAGAGAUCAGAAAGGAGAGAGAGAACGGUGUGUGUCGGAACGGCGGCGUUGCCUAUCACUGGUGGUGUGGUGGUGACUAGAGAAAUUAUCAGUGUGUGGUGGUGCCGGAUUCACGGUGCGGUUCCGGUGGUGACGGAAUCAGGGUGCGGUUCCGGUGGUGAUUAGCGGCGUAGAGAAGAUGCUAGGGUUCCGGUGAAGGUCGGGCAAAAUUACGGUACCACGGGUGUCGGGAUCAACAUGAACAGACGACACCACGGGUGUCGGGAUCUCUGCCGGUGAGAGAUCUGAAAGUUUUAGGGUUCCGACGAGUCAGCUUAGCUCCGGUGAGAACCUGCUUUCCUGAACCAGUGUUUAUGAAAAAGGGGAACGCAUCCGACAAGCACAAUAGGUUGUGGUGCAUCUAGAGGGCGGUGUUCAUAUCAAUCGGUGGUGUUCGAUUGUCUAUUAGGGCAGUGCAUUUGUCAUCAACAAGGAGUCAACUGAUUGGAGUUUGACUGAAUCUGAGUUUUCGAUAGUACUUUAUGCUGGAAGAUUGUUUUCGUUGUGUCAUUCAAUGGAUACUUCUUGCCAAGUUUUUAGGUAACUUUAACUUCCUUAUUUUCUUCUUGCUUUUAUUGAUUUGAAGAUUCCAUGCUUCUGAUCCUUAUUUUCUUCUUAGGUGUAUUGUUAGGCUAUAGGGUGUGGUCAUGACCCUUAUGACCAUCAUGACCCUCCAUGUUAGUGCCAUGUAACCCACCUCUAUUCCACCAUCCAAAACCACUAUCCUAAGGGUGUGGUCAUGACCCAAACCACUAGCCCCUUAUUUAUUUUAAUUUAUCUUUGUUUAAAGAGAAAAAAGGAAAUGAUUUGUUGAAAAAUGGAAAAGAGGGUCAUGGUUGCCAUGGUUUAAUCCAUGCAAACCAUGGUGGAUCAAUCAAGGGGGUGGUGUAGUCUUCUAUUUAUGUUCCUAGGUGGCAAAUCAUGUACCAACCAUGACCCCCACACCCUAUAGCCUUACAAUGGCACCUUGAUUUCCACAUAAAGUAAAAGAAUAAAGUAUCUAUAAUUUUUUUUCUAUAAUUCUUUUAAACGAUUUCAUGUGAAAUCUACAAAGAGUCUUGAAAAGUAACUGUGCUUCAAUCAAAAAUAUAUUAUAUUAGAAGGUUAUAUGUAUAUGCAAACCUAAGUAGUUGAUGAUAUUCGAGUAAAGCAUUAUUGUAUAAUGUGUUUAUAGUAAGAAAAGUCUUUGGUAGUUGAUCAUGAACUUUAGAAGAGUGUUGUUCUUUCAAUGUAACGAAAAAGUAUAUGGAUAUUGCAUAAGAUAGAAAAGAGCUUUUACUAGAGUUACAUGUCCUGAAAAGACAUUAAGGUAUGAUUUACACUUAUGAGGGGGUGAUUGUUGAUAAUCAUAUUGUUACCGAGCCGAUUACUUUACUAAAAUCGACAGAAGAGGAGGGAUGGUCAUCCGGCGGUAUGAUGGUGAGUUUGCGGGUUCCGGCGAGGCAGUGAUUGACCAAGAUAAUUUGAAAACUUUCUGUGGUCAUAAAGUAUAGAUGUGGAACUCCAGGAACUGCCAAGAAGAAAGGAAUAACAUGAUCAGGAACAUACAUUCAAGAACUGAAGUGUUCGUAGUAAUUAAGAUCGUCGUAGAGUAUUAUUGGCGACAUAUCAUGUGAUUACACCAAGAAUGAUUUGGUUUAGCAUGAUCGUGUUAUGAGUUGUGAUGUCAAACGUACACACCAAGAAUGAUUAAGUUUAGCAUCAUUGUGUUAUGAGUUGUGAUGUAAAGCGUACACACUAAGAAUGAUUGAUCCGGUUUAGCAAAGAAUGAUUUGGUUGAGUGCGCCGUAACGCGGCGCUGCGCA